AAAGCUUCAGGAAGAAUAACAAAGAUCAUUCUCUCUUCCACUUUUGAGGCCUGUUGUGGGCUGGGAACUUGAUAAUGUUUAGAACAUUAUUACCUUUUUUCUCCCGUCAGAGACUGAGCCCAGGUUUGCGUGAGGGGAAACGCGUUAUGUGGGCAGAGGGAGUCUGGAGGCUCUCCUUACAAAGAUUUCCAAACCCUCACACCAAUAUUCUCAAACUUGGGUUUCUAUCCUGCUCAUCAGGAACAUUUGCUUUUAAAAGUAAACAAUCAUGACGCACCUCUGCCUGGCCCCAGUCCUUUGGUCUGAGGAAGGGAGUGUCCAACCAGUUCCUGGAAAUGAGGUAUCUUCAGGGUGUCCAGAUCAGGUCACCUGCCCCGAGUUCCAGAAUGGAGACCCCAUCUCACUGGGAGACUAAAGCUAUGAAGAUACUCCCAAGGAGGAAGCUGCUUUUCCAGGCAUGGAGGAAGAGGAAAGGGAAAUGCGACGUGGACUGUACCUGCCUCUGCUCCCAUGUGAACAGCUACCAAGACUUCCCAUCCAGCUGUAGCCAAUGCUGGUGUUUCUCCUCAUCCUUCAAAACUCCAGAUGUUCCAGGAAGGCACCCUAAAGUAAUUCCAUUGAUGAUGUGCCCUGAAGAUUCAGUCAUGUGUUUGUUCAUUUGGCUAUUCUUUUGUUCUACAAUAUCUGUGGCAG
rnacentral:lncRNA from 1 species